AUUCUACUCCCUCCGUUCGGAAUUACUUGUCACAGAAAUGGAUGUAUCUAGACGUAUUUUAGUUCUAGAUACAUCCAUUUCCGAGACAAGUAAUUCCGAACGGAGGAAGUAGUUU
rnacentral:pre_miRNA from 1 species